GUUCUAAUAGCAUGAUAUCAGCAGAUCCCAUAAUCACAGGGUGGAAUGGGAAAAGUAUAUUAGUGAUUAAUAUAGUAUAAGUGUAGGAGAAAUCAACCCGACUUCUAAUAUUGGGUCUCAAGUCUAUGAAAUCUGCAAAUGGGAAGAGCAGUAAUCUAUUUCACUUAUUAGGUAAAAAAUAUACAAUAUCCAGAGGACCAGCACCUUUAAUCUUCCAAACUACAGUCCAGCAUUUCAACAAACUAUCAGACUAUGUUUCCUGGCUGAUAUAGCAUAUGGUAAAAUAGAUAUAGCACAUGGCAUUGGCUCUUUAUUUCUUUCACUGUAAAAUAUUUUUUUCUUCAGAAGCAAAGUUGUAUGGCUUAAUAAGUUUUAACAGAUCCAGUAAACAUAUGAAUGAAAUUAAUAAUCGAAACUUCUCAGUUGAGAGUAUGCUUUUAAAGUUAAUAAUAGACAUAUGAUGGACAGGGAUGCCUGGGUAGCUCAGUGGUUGAGUGUCUGCCUUUGGCUCAGGGUGUGAUGCUGGGGUCCUGGGAUCAAGUCCUGCAUCAGGCUCCCUGCAGGGAGCCUGCUUCUCCCUCUGCCUAUGUCUCUGCCUCUCUCUCUGUCUCUCAUGAAUAAAAAAAUAAAUAAAAUCUUAAAAAAAAGAAAUAUGAUGGACAGGAUAAUGUGUCCUAAGCCUGUGUCUAAUCCUAAUGCUCCCCACCAUUACAGAAAAGUCCAAUGCAAUUAAUUCAUUUUCUAUUUAUUCUUGUCCCCAAGCUAUCAUACCUGGAGAGAAAAAAAAUCUAUAGCAGGGAACUAAGACAACCAAAGAGUGGAAGCCUUUCCAUGAGGAACAAGGUCUAUGGUGGAGAACUGUCACUAAAGUGUAGAACUGAUGCAGAAUUUGGUUUGUUAUCUUUGCACUGCUUAUUUUUCCUUUACUAAUGGCAUAGAGGGAAAGUAGUUUAUCUAAAUCAAAUCCUGUCACUUGAUCUGUCACUUAAGCUGAUCUGACCACUUCAAGUGUUCAUGCCACUUUUUGGUAAUUGUCCAAU
rnacentral:lncRNA from 12 species